rnacentral:rRNA from 1 species
UGGGGAAUAUUGGACAAUGGGCGGAAGCCUGAUCCAGCAACGCCGCGUGAGGGAUGACGGCCUUCGGGUUGUAAACCUCUUUCAGUACCGACGAAGCGAAAGUGACGGUAGGUACAGAAGAAGGACCGGCCAACUACGUGCCAGCAGCCGCGGUAAUACGUAGGGUCCGAGCGUUGUCCGGAAUUAUUGGGCGUAAAGGGCUCGUAGGCGGUUUGUCGCGUCGGGAGUGAAAACAGCGGGCUUAACUCGUUGCUUGCUUUCGAUACGGGGCAGACUAGAGGGUAUGCAGGGGAGAAUGGAAUUCCUGGUGUAGCGGUGAAAUGCGCAGAUAUCAGGAGGAACACCGGUGGCGAAGGCGGUUCUCUGGGCAUUACCUGACGCUGAGGAGCGAAAGUGUGGGG